rnacentral:rRNA from 1 species
UGGGGAAUAUUGGACAAUGGGCGAAAGCCUGAUCCAGCCAUGCCGCGUGUGUGAAGAAGGUCUUCGGAUUGUAAAGCACUUUAAGUUGGGAGGAAGGGCAGUAAGCGAAUACCUUGCUGUUUUGACGUUACCGACAGAAUAAGCACCGGCUAACUCUGUGCCAGCAGCCGCGGUAAUACAGAGGGUGCAAGCGUUAAUCGGAAUUACUGGGCGUAAAGCGCGCGUAGGUGGUUCGUUAAGUUGAAUGUGAAAGCCCCGGGCUCAACCUGGGAACUGCAUCCAAAACUGGCGAGCUAGAGUAGGGCAGAGGGUGGUGGAAUUUCCUGUGUAGCGGUGAAAUGCGUAGAUAUAGGAAGGAACACCAGUGGCGAAGGCGACCACCUGGGCUCAUACUGACACUGAGGUGCGAACGCGUGGGGAGCAAACAGG